CGCGCUGAACUUAAGCAUAUCAGUAAGCGGAGGAAAAGAAACCAACAGGGAUUGCCUUAGUAACGGCGAGUGAAGCGGCAAAAGCUCAGAUUUGAAAUCUGGUGCCAUAAUGGCAUCUGAGUUGUAAUCUGUAGAGGAGUAUUCGAGUGUGUCUUUGGCUUAAGUUCCUUGGAACAGGGCGUCAAAGAGGGUGAGAACCCCGUUUGCGGCCUUUGUCCUAUGCUCAUGUGAAUCUCCUUCAACGAGUCGAGUUGUUUGGGAAUGCAGCUCUAAAUGGGUGGUAAAUUCCAUCUAAAGCUAAAUACUGGCAAGAGACCGAUAGCGCACAAGUAGAGUGAUCGAAAGAUGAAAAGAUCUCUGAACAGAGAGUUAAAUAGUACGUGAAAUUGUUGAAAGGGAAGCACUUGCUACUCAGACACACUUGCAAUUAAUCAACCUCCAUUUUUGGUGGUGCACUUGGUUGUAGGUGGGUCAGCAUCAGUUAUAGCGGUAGGAAAAAGACUGUGGGAAUGUGGCUUCUCCUGGGAAGUGUUAUAGCCCAAAGUGUAAUGCUGCCUGCUGUGACUGAGGACCGCGCUUCGGUGAGGAUGCUGGCAUAAUGGUUGUAAGUGACCCGUCUUGAAACACGG
rnacentral:rRNA from 1 species